AUGCCGCGUGUGUGAUGAAGGCCUUAGGGUCGUAAAGCUCUUUCGCCAGGGAUGAUAAUGACAGUACCUGGUAAAGAAACCCCGGCUAACUCCGUGCCAGCAGCCGCGGUAAUACGGAGGGGGUUAGCGUUGUUCGGAAUUACUGGGCGUAAAGCGCACGUAGGCGGAUCAGAAAGUUGGGGGUGAAAUCCCAGGGCUCAACCCUGGAACUGCCUCCUAAACUCCUGGUCUUGAGUUCGAGAGAGGUGAGUGGAAUUCCGAGUGUAGAGGUGAAAUUCGUAGAUAUUCGGAGGAACACCAGUGGCGAAGGCGGCUCACUGGCUCGAUACUGACGCUGAGGUGCGAAAGUGUGGGGAGCAAACAGGAUUAGAUACCCUGGUAGUCCACACCGUAAACGAUGAAUGCCAGUCGUCGGGCAGCAUGCUGUUCGGUGACACACCUAACGGAUUAAGCAUUCCGCCUGGGGAGUACGGUCGCAAGAUUAAAACUCAAAG
rnacentral:rRNA from 1 species